rnacentral:rRNA from 1 species
UACGAACUGUGCGAACGUUAUUCGGAAUCACUGGGCUUAAAGGGUGCGUAGGCGGCUUGUUAAGUAGGGUGUGAAAGCCCCCGGCUCAACCGGGGAAUUGCGCCCUAAACUGGCGAGCUGGAGUGGGAUAGGGGUGUACGGAAUUCCUGGUGUAGCGGUGAAAUGCGCAGAUAUCAGGAGGAACACCGGUGGCGAAGGCAGCACUCUGGGACGUGACUGACGCUGAGACGCGAAAGCGUGGGGAGCAAACAGG